rnacentral:lncRNA from 1 species
CUGACGUAUGGACCUGAAUGUAUGUGUAAAAGAAGUUGAGGACUAUAUUAGAAACGGUACAUAAAUUCCGGUUGACAAUAGUAAUUUUACAAAUUUAUUUGGCGUAAUAGUGCAAAUCCCUUUUUUAGUUUUUUUUUGUUCCUCCCACAGAACAGAACCUGAGCUCCAGACCAGAACUGGAAGGGAAAGUCCUUGGGAGGUAAGCCAGUCCAUAGAAAUUAAAAGCACGAACGACACAACUUUCCCCACCAAAAUCCGCACUCUACCAGAAGUUCAAGUCUCCAAGUCCAGGAUCAAUGGCCGAUGAGGGACAAGCAGCAUCCUCUUCGGCAGCGGCGGCGGCGCCUCUGGGAUCGUCGGUGAUCCCAG